GCUCAUUAAAUCAGUUAUCGUUUAUUUGAUAGUACCUUCUACUUGGAUACCUGUGGUAAUUCUAGAGCUAAUACAUGCUAAAAACCCCGACUUCGGGAGGGGUGUAUUUAUUAGAUAAAAAACCAAUGCCCUCCGGGGCUCCUUGGUGAUUCAUAAUAACUUAACGAAUCGCAUGGCCUUGCGCCGGCGAUGGUUCAUUCAAAUUUCUGCCCUAUCAACUUUCGAUGGUAGGAUAGUGGCCUACCAUGGUUUCUACGGGUAACGGGGAAUUAGGGUUCGAUUCCGGAAAAGGAGCCUGAGAAACGGCUACCACAUCCAAGGAAGGCAGCAGGCGCGCAAAUUACCCAAUCCCGACNCGGGGAGGUAGUGACAAUAAAUACUGAUGCAGGGCUCUUUCGGGCUUUGCAAUUGGAAUGAGAACAAUGUAAACCCCUUAACGAGGAACAAUUGGAGGGCAAGUCUGGUGCCAGCAGCCGCGGUAAUUCCAGCUCCAAUAGCGUAUAUUAAAGUUGUUGCAGUUAAAAAGCUCGUAGUUGAAACUUGGGCCUGGCUGGCCGGUCCGCCUCACCGCGUGCACUGGUCCGGCCGGGCCUUCCUUCUGGGGAACCGCAUGCCCUUCAUUGGGUGUGCCGGGGAACCAGGACUUUUACUUUGAAAAAUUAGAGUGUUCCAGCAGGCCUUUGCUCGGAUACAUUAGCAUGGAAUAAUGGAAUAGGACGCGCGGUUCUAUUUUGUUGGUUUCUAGGACCGCCG
rnacentral:rRNA from 1 species